rnacentral:rRNA from 1 species
CUACGGGACGCAGCAGUGGGGAAUAUUGCACAAUGGGCGCAAGCCUGAUGCAGCCAUGCCGCGUGUAUGAAGAAGGCCUUCGGGUUGUAAAGUACUUUCAGCGGGGAGGAAGGGAGUAAAGUUAAUACCUUUGCUCAUUGACGUUACCCGCAGAAGAAGCACCGGCUAACUCCGUGCCAGCAGCCGCGGUAAUACGGAGGGUGCAAGCGUUAAUCGGAAUUACUGGGCGUAAAGCGCACGCAGGCGGUUUGUUAAGUCAGAUGUGAAAUCCCCGGGCUCAACCUGGGAACUGCAUCUGAUACUUGCAAGCUUGAGUCUCGUAGAGGGGGGUAGAAUUCCAGGUGUAUCGGUGAAAUGCGUAGAGAUCUGGAGGAAUACCGGUGGCGAAGGCGGCCCCCUGGACGAAGACUGACGCUCAGGUGCGAAAGCGUGGGGAGCAAACAGGAUUAGAUACCCUAGUAGUC